rnacentral:rRNA from 1 species
UGGGAAACAGGUUAAUAUUCCUGUACUUGGUGUUACUGCGAAGGGGGGACGGAGAAGGCUAUGUUGGCCGGGCGACGGUUGUCCCGGUUUAAGCGUGUAGGCUGGUUUUCCAGGCAAAUCCGGAAAACUAAGGCUGAGGCGUGAUGACGAGGCACUACGGUGCUGAAGCAACAAAUGCCCUGCUUCCAGGAAAAGCCUCUAAGCAUCAGGUAACAUCAAAUCGUACCCCAAACCGACACAGGUGGUCAGGUAGAGA